AUGGGAUGGGAUGGGCAGGGGAAGAGGCCGAGAGGACACAGCAAAGGGCAAAGGCGCGGAGGCGGGCGGGCCGCCGGCCUCCUCAUCUGGACCGUGCGAUCGGGCUCUAAGGCGCACAAGCGCUCGCAAGGGGGCCCCCGGAGCCGGAAGGAGGCGCCCCGGGCUCCGCGCGAACCCCAACAAAGGCGCACUCCGACCUCCCCACAACAUGGCGGCAGCCCGGCUCCACUCACCGACUCCGAGUUCCGCGAGACGGCGGCAGCACCUCCUCGACAAACGGCGGGCGGGCGAGCGCGCGGACCACACGGGACCGGACCGGACCGAACUAGACAGAGGCGCGAAAACCGCCUGCUACCCCCACUCCCAGCGCCCGCCGCCUCCUUCUUCCACCUCCUCCUUCCGCCACCCCAGACAAAAUGGCGGAAGCCCCGCCCCGGAGCGGGACUGGGACUGCUUCUAGCCAAUGGGCGCACGGAGUUAUCGCUCUCUGCCAAUGGGAAGGAGGAGCCCUCCCUAUGGGCCAAUGGGAGUGGAGCGCUGCCUCUGUCAGCCAAUGGGAAUGCAGCUCUCGCCUGUUGCUGGUUAUGGCUGCGGAGGCGGGGGCGGGGGCGGGUUGUUGUUGCGGAGAGUUUGAAAUGCUCGCGCAGAGGAGCACGACGGGAGCAGUCAUUCGCUGGCUGCGUGUUCGCUGCUGUGCUGGGCAGACCCCAGCGGCCCCAUGCUGCGAUGGGGCGCUGCAGGGUGGACGCCAGGCGCAAAAGGAGGCGUGCAUUCUUGGACUUGGCAGCUGGAUGGAUUUGUCUGGCUUGGCUCCGCUUGUUUGUUACAAAGACUCUGUUUGUCUUUUCUUUCCCCCCUCGGGAGUUGGGGGGUGGGGGUGAGGGUGGAGAGGAAUGGAGAAAGAAAGUAGUGGUAAUGUUGCCUGCCCACCCCCUAAAAAAAGAAAAGACGGAUAUUGAAGCUGUUUUUAAUGCCCAGAAAAGUUCGACGCGACAGAGUCUUGAACAUGGCCAACCUUAG
rnacentral:lncRNA from 1 species